rnacentral:rRNA from 1 species
UACGUAGGGUGCGAGCGUUGUCCGGAUUUAUUGGGCGUAAAGAGCUCGUAGGCGGUUUGUCGCGUCGGCCGUGAAAUCUCCACGCUUAACGUGGAGCGUGCGGUCGAUACGGGCAGACUUGAGUUCGGUAGGGGAGACUGGAAUUCCUGGUGUAGCGGUGAAAUGCGCAGAUAUCAGGAGGAACACCGGUGGCGAAGGCGGGUCUCUGGGCCGAUGACUGACGCUGAGGAGCGAAAGCGUGGGGGAGCGAACAGG